ACACUGCAGGGCAAAGAGAGAGAUCAGACACACCACCAGUGCAGCAGGGGUGCUCUUACAUAGCACUUUUCAUUGGUGGAUCUCAAAGCGCUUCCCAAUGUAACUCACUUAACCUCACAAACCCCCUGUGGGGUAGGACAGGGCUCUUAUCCCCAUUGUGCAGAUUGGAAAAUGGAGGCACAGAGGGGCCAAGUGACUUGCCCAAGGUCACACAGUCUGUGGCAGAGCUGGGACUUGAACCCAGGUCUCCCUAGUCCUUGGGUAGUACCCUAACCACAUAAUCCUUGAGUUAAGGAGUACGUGGCAAAUGGAGGUGUGUCAGCACACACACACGUCCAUUCCUGUGCGGUCGUGGCUGGAGCAGGGGCUUGGGCGCCCAUCCUGCCUCUGCCACCAAUUCAGUUAACUCGGGCAAGUCACUUCCUCUUGUCCUCACUCAUCUCCCUUUCUAGUGCUCAUAGGCCAUGAUCCUUCCUAGGACUGAAUGCAAGAAACACCUUGGAGUGGCACCGUCACACUGAAGAAGAGCCUAUACGCGUUCCCUGGGAACGUGCAGGCCAAGAUUCCCAGUUUCCUGCAGAAAACCGCAAGAGGAAGGGGAACAGGUUGGACCAGACAACGGAGCUUAGCAGUUAGAUCAAGAACCUGGGAGUCAAGGACUCUUGCCUCUGGACAGAAGCAUGGUCUUGUGAUUUGAGAUGGAGACAGGACUCCUGGGUUCUAUUCCAAGCCCCGCCACCGCUUGGCAAGUCCCAUUACCUCACUGUGCCUCAGGACCCCACUCGUCCCUUUGUGGGCCAGGGCUAAUAACCAGCCCACCUCUCAGGGUGGGGCAGAUUCUGUAGCUCAGUGUUUUACGCCAGAGGCUCCCCCACUCACAGGAUGGUGAUGACCUGGAUGAAGUUGAGUGGGAUGUUGUUCAGCUGGGCGAUGAAGACAGCUGCCACACACUGGAAGAGGGCAGCCCCGUCCAUGUUGACCGUGGCCCCGAUGGGCAGGAUGAAGCGACUGAUGUGCUUGGAGACGCCGUUGUUCUCCUCAAUGCACUUCAUCAUCAGCGGCAGCGUGGCAGAGCUGUGGAGAGAUCAGAGUGUGUAUGGCUCAGCAGCCAUCCCUGCUUUGAUGGAAGCCUCCCUAUGAGAAGUUUACUCAAGCCCCUAAGCGCCUGUGCCCACAGCUAACAUUACAAUACCUGGAGGAGGUGCCAAAGGCAGUGGCCAG